rnacentral:rRNA from 1 species
CACGUAGGGUGCAAGCGUUAUCCGGAAUUAUUGGGCGUAAAAGAGCUCGUAGGCGGUUUGUCGCGCCUGCUGUGAAAACCCGAGGCUCAACCUCGGGCCUGCAGUGGGUACGGGCAGACUAGAGUGCGGUAGGGGAGAUUGGAAUUCCUGGUGUAGCGGUGGAAUGCGCAGAUAUCAGGAGGAACACCGAUGGGCGAAGGCAGAUCUCUGGGCCGUAACUGACGCUGAGGAGCGAAAGCAUGGGGGAGCGAACAGG